rnacentral:rRNA from 1 species
GUGGGGAAUAUUGGGCAAUGGGGGCAACCCUGACCCAGCGACGCCGCGUGGGUGAAGAAAUCCCUCGGGAUGUAAAGCCCUGUUGUAUGGGAAGAGCAGAAGACGGUACCAUACGAGGAAGCCCCGGCAAACUACGUGCCAGCAGCCGCGGUAAUACGUAGGGGGCAAGCGUUGUCCGGAAUUACUGGGCGUAAAGCGCACGCAGGCUGAAUUAUAAGUCGGUAGUCAAAUACGGAGGCUCAACUUCCGGAUAUCUAUCGAUACUGUAAAUCUAGAGUAUGUGAGAGGGAAGCGGAAUUCCCGUUGUAGCGGUGAAAUGCGUAGAUAUCGGGAGGAACACCAGUGGCGAAGGCGGCUUCCUGGCACAAUACUGACGCUCAUGUGCGAAAGCUAGGGCAGCGAACGGGAUUAGAAACCCCGGUAGUCC